rnacentral:tRNA from 1 species
CUUGCGAUGCGAAGGCUUCGUUGAGUUCGAUGACGUCGAACUGCUCCAGCGUGAGUCCCGUGCGUGCGAGGAGCUUCUUCGUCGCGGGC